rnacentral:rRNA from 1 species
GACGAACGCUGGCGGCGUGCUUAACACAUGCAAGUCGAACGGAAAGGCCCUGCUUUUGUGGGGUGCUCGAGUGGCGAACGGGUGAGUAACACGUGAGUAACCUGCCCUUGACUUUGGGAUAACUUCAGGAAACUGGGGCUAAUACCGUAUAGGAGAUCCUGCUGCAUGGAGGGGGUUGGAAAGUUGCGGCGGUUGGGGAUGGACUCGCGGCUUAUCAGCUUGUUGGUGGGGUAGUGGCUUACCAAGGCUUUGACGGGUAGCCGGCACGGGAGGGUGACCGGCCACAAUGGGACUGAGAGACGGACCAGACUCGUACGGGAGGCAGCAGGGGGAAAUAUUGCACAGUGGGCCGGAGCCUGAUACAGAGGCGCCGCGUGCGGGAUGCCGGCCUUCGGGUUGUGAACCGCUUUCGCCUGUGACGAAGCGUGAGUGACGGUAAUGGGUAAAGAAGCACCGGCUAACUACGUG